rnacentral:rRNA from 1 species
UUUCCGGUUGAUCCCGCCGGACCUGACUGCUAUCGGAUUGAUACUAAGCCAUGCGAGUCUUUGUAGUAAUACAAGGCAGACGGCUCAGUAACACGUAGUCAACCUACCCUAUGGACAAGAAUAAUCUCGGGAAACUGGGCAUAAUUCUUGAUAGAUCAUAAUGCCUGGAAUGGUUUAUGGUUAAAAUGAUUCGUCGCCAUAGGAUGGGACUGCGGCCUAUCAGCUUGUUGGUGAGGUAAUGGCCCACCAAGGCGAUUACAGGUACGGGCUCUGAGAGGAGAAGCCCGGAGAUGGGUACUGAGACACGGACCCAGGCCCUAUGGGGCGCAGCAGGCGAGAAAACUUUGCAAUGUGCGAAAGCACGACAAGGUUAAUCCGAGUGAUUUCUGCUAAAGAAAUCUUUUGCCAGUCAUAAAACCACUGGUGAAUAAGGGGUGGGCAAGUUCUGGUGUCAGCCGCCGCGGUAAAACCAGCACCUCAAGUGGUCAGGAUGAUUAUUGGGCCUAAAGCAUCCGUAGCCGGCUUUGUAAGUUUUCGGUUAAAUCCAUGUGCUCAACGCAUGGGCUGCCGAAAAUGCUGCAUGGCUAGGGAGUGGGAGAGGUAGACGGUACUCAGUAGGAAGGGGUAAAAUCCUUUGAUCUAUUGAUGACCACCUGUGGCGAAGGCGGUCUACCAGAACACGUUCGACGGUGAGGGAUGAAAGCUGGGGGAGCAAACCGGAUUAGGUACCCGGGUAGUCCCAGCUGUAAACGAUGCAGACUCGACGAUGCAUUGGCAUAAUAGCCAAUGCAGUGUCGCAGGGAAGCCGUUAAGUCUGCCGCCUGGGAAGUACGUACGCAAGUAUGAAACUUAAAGGAAUUGGCGGGGGAGCACCACAAGGGGUGAAGCCUGCGGUUCAAUUGGAGUCAACGCCGGG